AGUGAACGCUGGCGGUAGGCCUAACACAUGCAAGUCGAACGGCAGCACAGUAAGAGCUUGCUCUUACGGGUGGCGAGUGGCGGACGGGUGAGGAAUACAUCGGAAUCUACUUUUUCGUGGGGGAUAACGUAGGGAAACUUACGCUAAUACCGCAUACGACCUACGGGUGAAAGCAGGGGAUCUUCGGACCUUGCGCGAUUGAAUGAGCCGAUGUCGGAUUAGCUAGUUGGCGGGGUAAAGGCCCACCAAGGCGACGAUCCGUAGCUGGUCUGAGAGGAUGAUCAGCCACACUGGAACUGAGACACGGUCCAGACUCCUACGGGAGGCAGCAGUGGGGAAUAUUGGACAAUGGGCGAAAGCCUGAUCCAGCCAUACCGCGUGGGUGAAGAAGGCCUUCGGGUUGUAAAGCCCUUUUGUUGGGAAAGAAAAGAAGCAGGUUAAUACCCCGAUGUUCUGACGGUACCCAAAGAAUAAGCACCGGCUAACUUCGUG
rnacentral:rRNA from 1 species